AUACGUAGGGGGCGAGCGUUAUCCGGAUUUAUUGGGCGUAAAGCGUGUGUAGGCGGUUUGUUAAGUUUAAGAUUAAAGCCCGAGGCUUAACCUCGGUUCGUCUUAAAGACUGGCAGACUUGAGUGCAGUAGAGGCAAGUGGAAUUUCUAGUGUAGCGGUUAAAUGCGUAGAUAUUAGAAGGAACACCAGUGGCGAAGGCGGCUUGCUGGGCUGUUACUGACGCUGAGACACGAAAGCGUGGGGAGCAAAUAGGAUUAGAUCCCCUAGUAGUCCACGCCGUAAACGAUGAGUACUAAGUGUCGGGUAACCGGUGCUGAAGUUAACACAUUAAGUACUCCGCCUGAGUAGUACGGUCGCAAGGCUGAAACUCAAAUGAAUUGGCGGGG
rnacentral:rRNA from 1 species